CAAGCAGGGAUAGUGUGUAUCGACAUGGAGCAUACAAUGCUUCAAUUGUGCGAAAGAGUUCCCUGCAAUAUCAAAUUCCAGGGGAAGAUGGGCAGUUGCGUUUCAUAAUUCUUUUGAUUAUUUCAACAAUCAUCUUCCCCAUAUUU